CCCUGAAAGACUUUCCAUAGCAGUAUGCUAGCAAUUGCAGAACCCUGAAGAAGCAACUUGGGGGUUUGCAGGAAAGGCUCAUUCUUAUUAGAUGAUGUCAGCUGCAGCCUGGCUGUUUAGAUUUACAGCAGCUGUUUCCAAAACUCACGUGCUAAGUCACUCCUUUUCUCUCCUCCAUGCUACUUCAAACUGGAGUAAGGAAAGUUAAGAAACAAAAAAGGAGGAAGAAAAAUCCUCUGGUAUUGAUUUGUUGAAUAGAGUUGAAUGCAUGAGCAUAAACAGAUGGAGAACAGAACUUUCCUUCUUUGAAAGAAUGCCAAAAGCUUUCCUAUUUAUGUCCAGCAUGAUCAGGCAUUAUUAUUAAUACAUCAUGACUACCUUGAGGCUCAUCUUAAACUGUACAAGGCAGUGCCCUGCAGAAGCAGUUCAGAAAUAGAAAUGAGAAGUGAAGAGCAUGACUAGCAGUACUUUGUGCAAGGAACACACAGCCUGACCUUCAGGACUGGCUUUACAGUGAGCCCUGACCCUACCAACAGAAGCUCAGCCAGCCUUGAACAUGCCCAGAAGCGUACCUGGGCUCACUUCUGGCAGAGCAUCAGUGGAGUCAGCUCCAUGAGCUGGCUCACAGCAUCUCUGCCUGUGACAGCAUGGGAGCAGGAGGAAGAUGGUGCUGUGCAUAGAUCCAGUGUUCCACUUUCUUGGAGAAGAGUUUUGAGAAGUGACAAUGCAUUUGCCCGCCUUGCUCCAGACUCUCCAGGUAGGAUGUGCUCACAAAAGAAUGAGUAUACCGUAGCAAUCCUAGGAAGUUAGGAAAGCAUCAACUCCAGACAUUGUUGGCCUGGAUUCUUUCUCCUGGCUGUUUUAUCCAUACCUGUUACUAUCUUCUCUGUCAAGGAAAAUGAAGGCAAUAUCACCUUCAGGCUGUAUGCAGCACAGUGGCAAUGAGAAAAUGCGAAGACAAUUGCUAACGUAAUUUGGCGAUCCCUGGAGAUCUGUGGAUUCAGCAUGCCUACUUCUGGACACACAGACCCUCAAAUCAACUCCAGAAGAGUGGGGCAUAGCUUAGAAGUACCCAGGUUCCAGCAGGAUUUUCAAUGAACCACAAGGUGGAAGCAGAAAAGCCUGAGAGGAUGGCAGCUGUCAGGACGAGAAAUGAGGCAACUGAACAGGGUGCUCAGUUGCAAAAAAGACAACAGCAGGAAAAAGGGGGCAUAUGUUUAAAAUACUGCCGUGGAGCUAAAGAUCGGAGUUGUAAGGAAAAGCAGGGAAAAUAACAAAAAGCUCAUCAACACCCACCUGCCAAGAGUGUCAAUAAAAAUGAUAGGAGCAAAGGCAAAGGAUUUUUUUUUUCUCUGCAGCAAGAAGCACAGAUGGGCAAAAGUAUAAAACAAAAGCCUGUAUGAGGUUUUCGUCUGUGCUGCAGUUCUCAAGAAUGAGUACACAAGAAAAAUGUUUAUGUGAAUUACGUUAAAUGUGAGCAAACUCUGGAUUGGUAUUCAUGUAUAUUCUUAUCAUAAAGACAUCUUAAAGAUUUUUAAAUCCUGUUUGGUUGGUUCUGAUGGAGUAGUAAUGUAUAUGGUGAGUUGUAUUCGUGUAAAAUAGGAAUGGAAGUAUGAAGAAUGCUGAAGAGAUUUAUUUUAAACAUAUUUAUACUUGCCACAACUCCAUUAAAGGAGCUGGGUAAAACCAUGUCUAAGAUAUGCUUGUAGCAAGUUGGAUAAUUAAAAGGUAUUGCCAGUCACUAUCAUUUUGCUAGAAGGCAUUCACGUUUGCAAUAUACAAAUUUGUACUACUGUCACUGUUGUAAUCCCAUUUGUGCAAAUAUUCAAUAAAUAAGACACAAACUU
rnacentral:lncRNA from 7 species